GUGGCGGACGGGUUAGUAACACGUGAGCAACCUGCCCUAAAGCGGGGGAUAGCCCACCGAAAGGUGGAUUAAUACCGCAUGUGGCCUUCGGGUUAAAGGUGCCUUUAUGGUAUCGCUUUAGGAUGGGCUCGCGGCCUAUCAGCUAGAUGGUGAGGUAACGGCUCACCAUGGCAACGACGGGUAGCUGGUCUGAGAGGACGAUCAGCAACACUGGAACUGAGACACGGUCCAGACACCUACGGGUGGCAGCAGUCGAGAAUCAUUCACAAUGGACGCAAGUCUGAUGGUGCAACGCCGCGUGGAGGAUGAAGGCCCUAGGGUCGUAAACUCCUGUCAUGUGAGAGUAAGGCAUAUGUGUUAAUAGCAUGUAUGUUUGAUAGUAUCACAAGAGGAAGGGA
rnacentral:rRNA from 1 species